rnacentral:rRNA from 1 species
GAUGAACGCUGGCGGCGUGCUUAACACAUGCAAGUCGAACGAAGCACUUUACUUGAUUUCUUCGGAAUGAUUGUUCUGUGACUGAGUGGCGGACGGGUGAGUAACGCGUGGGUAACCUGCCUCAUACAGGGGGAUAACAGUUAGAAAUGACUGCUAAUACCGCAUAAGCGCACGGUAUCGCAUGAUACAGUGUGAAAAACUCCGGUGGUAUGAGAUGGACCCGCGUCUGAUUAGCUAGUUGGUGAGGUAACGGCUCACCAAGGCGACGAUCAGUAGCCGACCUGAGAGGGUGACCGGCCACAUUGGGACUGAGACACGGCCCAAAACUCCUAACGGGGAGGCAGCAGUGGGGAAUAUUGCACAAUGGGCGAAAGCCUGAUGCAGCGACGCCGCGUGAGCGAAGAAGGCCUUCGGGUUGUAAAC